rnacentral:rRNA from 1 species
UACGGGGGGGGGCAAGCGUUGUCCGGAAUUAUUGGGCGUAAAGAGCUCGUAGGCGGUUUGUCGCGUCUGGUGUGAAAACUCAAGGCUCAACCUUGAGCUUGCAUCGGGUACGGGCAGACUAGAGUGCGGUAGGGGUGACUGGAAUUCCUGGUGUAGCGGUGAAAUGCGCAGAUAUCAGGAGGAACACCGAUGGCGAAGGCAGGUCUCUGGGCAUUAACUGACGCUGAGGAGCGAAAGCAUGGGGAGCGAACAGG